rnacentral:misc_RNA from 1 species
GAUGAAGAACGCAGCGAAAUGCGAUAAGUAAUGUGAAUUGCAGAAUUCAGUGAAUCAUCGAAUCUUUGAACGCACCUUGCGCUCCUUGGUAUUCCUUGGAGCAUGCCUGUUUGAGUAUCAUGAAAUUAUCAAAGCAAGUCUUUUGUUAACUCAAUUGACUGUCUGCUUUGGAUUUGGAGGUCUCUGCAGAUUAAUACUCUGCUCCUCUUAAAUGCAUUAGCUGGAUCUCAGUAUAUGCUUGGUUCCACUCGGCGUGAUAAGUAUCACUCGCUGAGGACACUUUUGUAAAAAAAAGGUGGCCAGGAAAUACAGAUGAACCGCUUCUAACAGUCUAUUAAAUUAGACAAAAUAAUUUUAAGAUCUGAUCUCAAAUCAGGUAGGACUACCCGCUGAACUUAAGCAUAUCAAUAAGCGGAGGA